rnacentral:rRNA from 1 species
UGGGGAAUAUUGGACAAUGGGCGCAAGCCUGAUCCAGCCAUACCGCGUGUGUGAAGAAGGCUUUCGGGUUGUAAAGCACUUUAAGUAAGGAGGAAAAGAUUGUAGUUAAUACCUGCAAUCCGUGACGUUACUUACAGAAUAAGGACCGGCUAAUUCCGUGCCAGCAGCCGCGGUAAUACGGAAGGUCCAAGCGUUAAUCGGAAUUACUGGGCGUAAAGCGCGCGUAGGUGGUUUUUUAAGUUGGAUGUGAAAGCCCUGGGCUCAACCUAGGAACUGCAUCCAAAACUAGAUGACUAGAGUACGAAAGAGGGAAGUAGAAUUCACAGUGUAGCGGUGGAAUGCGUAGAUAUUGUGAAGAAUACCAAUGGCGAAGGCAGCUUCCUGGUUCUGUACUGACACUGAGGUGCGAAAGCGUGGGUAGCGAACAGG